CAGAAGGCAGAUCGAAUACAGGGCAGGCUCCUUGGGCAAGAUCAACUUGCAUAAACCAAGUGGCACUGAAGACACAGAGGACAGGGCAAAGCAGCGGCUCUAUGUGCUAACCAAAUAUGGAGGCAGGGGAGCCGGAGUAUCAAAAACACCACAGCAAAACGUGACUGUAGCUGUUAAAGCCUAAUGCACACACCCUAUAAUCCAGCAAUUUCACUUCCAGAUGCUUCCCUAAGGAAGCCCUCAUGUGGUUUUCUUCAUGGUUUUCUGCAAAAC
rnacentral:lncRNA from 10 species